GUCUACGGCCAUACCACCCUGAACGCGCCCGAUCUCGUCUGAUCUCGGAAGCUAAGCAGGGUCGGGCCUGGUUAGUACUUGGAUGGGAGAAACACAGUAACUUUACAGU
rnacentral:rRNA from 1 species